AUGCUGCAACGGCAGGCCAAAAGCUGGAACCAUGGCGGCAAAAGGUUGCAAGCAGCGUUGGUCGCGAUGAAGAUGGCAGACUCUGGUGCUGCAACCGGUUGCCUUUUUUUACUGGAACCACGUCGACGAAAGGUUGCAACCAGCAUUGCUGGUGAUGGAGAUGGCGGGCUGCCAUGUUUUUUGUUUGAUGAAACCAGUGUAUCAAUUUUUUGUUACCAUGGCCUUCAAAGUUUGCUACCACCAUCUUCGAUUUUUGCUACAACCCUGCUUUUGAUUUUGUUGUUGUUGGAUCCUUCUGGAACCACUUCAAUUUUAUUGUUACCUCCGUUUUGA
rnacentral:rRNA from 1 species